GUUUCAACAGAGGAGCCAGGUUCCACGUGAGAGGCAAGGCAGCCCAUUUAAACAGCCCCUGUCAGUCCUCUGAUCUACAAGUUUGCUGGUGAUUUUCACACAGGGAGCUGAUUUUUUUCUGGGCACCGGCAGUGUGGUGUAGGAAGCAUCUAAACACUGGAGCCAAGAAGGGCUAGAAGUGAAGUCGUGGCCUGAAUAUUUACUGUGGCUUCAUGGGCAAAGGACAAACUGAUCUGACUCUUCAUUUGCUCAUCUGAAAAAUGGGUGUAAAAAAUCUUCACCAACGUCCACAAUGAAUUACUCCUCAACUUACAGUCAGCACCAAAGCGUUAGGCAUUUGAUGUACACCCCUCUGGCGCUUCCAGGUUGACAGCGGAAAUCUGCCCAGCCUACCCAAAUUGAUGAAAAAAAAAGUUCAUAAAGGCAAAGAUGCCCCAGGCCCAUGAAGACAUAUCAAGAUCCCUAAGGAACCAAGGACUCCCGUCCAGAACCCCAGCUGGAAGAUAGGGUCCUUCUUAACCUCUUCAGACAAAUGGAGCCUGAGAAGGAGAACCAGCCCAAGAGCAUGGAGGGUUAAGCAUCACGAUAUGCGGGACUCACAGUAACAUGGAUUCUGGGUACUUUAUACAGAGCUCCUUGACUGUAAGCUCCUGGAAGAAAGUGAAAGCUACUUUAUCCCUGCCUGCGUCCCAGUACAUCAUAGGCACCUGUUUAAGAAAUGCUGGCAUCAUGAACGGAUUGAGGAUCAAGAUUCUGGGUCUUGAGCCAAAGUUGUUGUUAGUUUCAUUUUGUUCUUCCAAAACCUUAUAGUGUGAUCAUGAAUAAACCCUUUCCUCUCUCUAGGCAAAAAAAAAAAAAAAA